UUGCUCCCAAAUGGUGCCCAGCAUUGUUCAUCACCUCCUUUACCCCCAAUCGAUCCCAACUCUCCUGAAACUCAGGAGAAUUCACUCACACACGGGCCCCAUCUCACCACGUCACCAAGAUUCUAACUGCUUCUGACAAAUUUCCUCUCCUAUGUGCUAGACGCGUUUGGGAAUUUCUGAAGGAUGAAUUCCAUAAAAUGGGAGUCGUGGAUUGAUUUUGGGAUCAAUCAUUUCCUUCCACCUGUCCGGAUUCGUUCUAAAAAGGAUUUUUUUCGGAGUUCUUGAAGAAAAGAAGAGAAACUUCGAGAGAGGGGUAUAUAUACCUAGGUCUGGUUUCAAGUUGAGGGGGUGGGAUUUUUUAAGGCAGAGGUCAUUUGAGAAAAUUAGGGUUCUAGACAAAGUUUCUCUUCUUCUCUUUUGUUCAUCUGCAUUUUUCUUUGUUUAAUUCCACUCACAAUGCAAAAAAUACAAAAAACAAUUGUUUCAUUUAGUUUGAUAUUAGCAUCUUUGUUCUCUUCAUCUUUAAAUUCAGAAAUUUCACGUUUAUUAUGGGUUUGGACUGAGUUCGAGAGCCGAGGUUUGUUCGAAGGUCAUGAUUUGCGAUUCCGAGAUUAAUUUGUUGUUUUUGUACGUAUCAAUUUUUAGCAGAUUGAAGAAAGAUCAUUACAGGUUCGUUUCUUUCCUUCGCUACUUUUCUGGUGUGCAAAAUAUGAUGAAAGCUUAUAAAUAAAUGUUUGAGUUUGAGAUUUAAUAGACGCAUUUAUUUUCGAGUCUCGAAUGGUGUCGACUCUGGAUUUUGAUCGAGCUCUGUUUCAUCUUUGUGCUUAAAGCAUUUUUUGAGUUUGGAUUUACUUAUUUUGAAUGUGUUCAAUUAAAUUCCAGCUUGAUUUUUGAUUCCAUAAGUCUCUUAGAGUAAUCUUAGUGUCAUUUUUAGGCUUAAACUUACUCAAAACAUGCUUACUUCAAGUUUGAGGUCAUUGUAUGAAGGUUCAGUGAUUACUCGUUAUGGUCUCAUGAACAUCUCUGUGUGUUUGGUUAAAUUUGAGCUUUAAAAAUGAAAUCGGAAAUCAUCUUUUGAGUUCCUUGUUUAUUUCUAUAUGAACUAGCAUCGAGUCUUAUCUUCGAGUAUAUAUUAGUGUCAAGUUGUUCUUUACCUCACAUGUUCAGGAACAAGUUUUUGGGGAAUCCUUUUCUUGUUGGGGUUUGAAUUUGAAAUGAGUGCUGAAAUCAUCUUUGGUUCUUCUUUGAAAUGCUGGGAAUUUGAAAUCAUCCGAGGUUUGAAUUUGAAAUGCUGGGAAUCCUUUCUUUCUUCUUUUUUCUUCUAUUUUGUUUUUUCUGUUAAGAUAUGCUAGUAAUUUAACUAAAAAUUAGUUUGAAUUCGUGUCAGUUUCAUGCUAGGUCUGUUCAUUUCUUAAUGAUUCGAGUCUGAAACUAUCCUAAUUCAUCUAUCGAUUAAAAUCUAUUUGUGCUUAUUUGACAUGGUUUGAAUUGUUUGUGACUUUCAUCCUUAAGGAUUUCAAAAGGAUAAGCUAAGGUGUUCCAGUAGUCUAUCCUCCUUCAUUUAAUUAGUCUUUUAAAGUCAGUUGUUGGCAAGACAUAACUAGUAUUUGGAAACUAGAUCAUGUUCAUGUUUGAGUCCCUGCGGGUUAGGUUCAUGUUUUGAUUUCCAAACUUCUGUUAAUUGUCAUGUUUAGAAUUAACUGUUGCUAGAAUUAUUUGGAAGAUCGAUGUUGUAGUUGAAUGGAAAAUGAGUAUCUGUUGUUGGAUUGAGUUGGUUGAAGUUAAGUCAUAAUUGGUCUGAUUGCCUAAGUCUACUGGUGUUUCGAUCCUCUCUGUCAUACCCUUGCACUAAUUUAUACCAGUUUUUAUCUACAAAUGAAAGAUAAUUUUAAGAAGUCAUGUACUUGAUGCAUAUUUGAUCUUUCCAGUUGUGUGGUCGAAUUUAAGUGCCAAUUGAAUUCUAAAAUUGUUCUUUAGUAUUCAUUGAUUGUUGUCAAUCUGUUCGGUUCGUUUUGGCAGUUAGAAUUGUUACAAUCCCUUGUUAAGCUUUAAUUGGCUCGUACUUUAAAAUAGUUAGUCAAGCAAACCAUAUAUUCUGGCUAGUUUGUCUCAAAAAAUUAUUUGGUAUUCUUGGGUAAUGCUAGGGUUGCCGAGAAACUUGCCUCAUUAAAUUGGAAUGCACAUGAACUUGGUUUAAUUUUGAAAUCUUUCUCAAUUUGGAGAAUGUGUCUUUGCUAAGAAUAACUUUGUGUUGAUUGAUUCAAUGACUUGUUAUAAGGAUUGACUCAUUUCUUCAUAUUUCCAUCUUAAUUGAGUUUGGUACAGAGGCAUACGGUUGAACAUAUGGUUCCAUUAUUAUAGUUUCAUUCAUUUGCUUAAUCUGUUAGCGCUAAAGAAACUACAGAUUGUGCUCUUUUUUUGUUGGCAUGCUUGUGAUUUAAAAUGUUGGGUGUGGUGUUUAGUGUAAAAUGAUUGUUUAGUUUGUUGAUUCAGUUAAUUCUUGGCAGCAGAAUGUAGGACGCUUGAGGAAAAGAACCAAAUCUGAGGCUGAUUACAUAAUAUGUCCUUAAAUAUAGAAACAGGUUGAGAUUUUUUGACUGUCUGAAACUUUCGCAAUCAACUUGUGAUGAAUGAAUGGUGAAAAAUAAACUAUCGUGGUUGUGUACACGUUCGCGUGACAUAAUUACGAUCUUAAAAAUAAAAUCGGAGUAUGCGUUCAUGCAACUUCAACCGAAAUUUCUUAAUAAUAACAUAACGUUAUUAAUUGUGGACACGUUCGCGUGACUUGAUUUUUGAUGCGCCAAACAAAUGGGUACACGUACGCGUGACUCGUUUUUUUAGGAUAAUUUCUUAAUGAAAAGAGGUGAAAGCACAUAGGUUCUAAAAAGGGUAAUUAGACAAUUUGAUUAAGCCAAGUAUGAUCAAAGCGACCGUGCUAGAACUAAGAAGCCCAAAAAUGCCUAACACCUUCUCUCGGGUUAACAUAAUUACUUACACGGAUUUCUGUGUUCGCGGACCAUAAAUAAGAGUCAACUUCCUCGAUUCGGAAUUUUAUAUCGGUGACUUAGGACACCAUAAAUUAUCCCAAGUGGUGACUCGGGACACCAUAAAUUAUCCCAAGUGGUGACUCGGGACACCAUAAAUUAUCCCAAGUGGUGACUCUGAUUUUAAUAUAAAUAAUCCCGUUUUGAUUUUCACUUAAAUUGGAAAAAACUCCAUUAUACCCCUUUUCGGGGGUAGUAAAAAGGAGGUGUGACAGCUCUAGCAACUCCGGUGGGGAUAAGAACCCAGAAUCUCUGGUUCGGGGUUCAAUAAUUCGAGAUUUUUAAUAUGAUUUUAUUUGGAUUUAUUUAUAGUUAAUAUUACUGUAUUUUGUGAACAUUUUGUGCUAAUUGUUGUCUAUUUACCGUUUUGAUAUUAUUUGAAUUAUAUAUAACUGUCUUCUUACGCCACCCCUCCGAGUCUUCUGAAAAUGGUGAACACAUUCGCAUUGCCCACUUUUUCUAUAGAAAUUAUACCAAAUAGAACGAGGUUGGGCCAUCAACAAGGCCGGGUAGACUUUAGUGCUCCCGGUAUGUUGUCCCCUCUUCUGCUCGAGUUGUCCGCUCGGGUAAGCCAGGUCAAGAACACAACCCUAGGUUUAAACUUAGAAUAACACAGCCUCAUGUCGGAUCCCUAGUAGGAACGUUUGUUUGCAUCACGUGCAUUUGAUUUUGGGGACUCAACACAGGGAUUGGGCCCAUCUAGGACAGGUGUACACAAAAUAACAGACCAUCCUGAUGCAUCCUACGUGCUAUGUGAACAUUUAUUUGUUUUGGCUUGCAUGUUGACCGGCUAGGAAAAGUGAAUCAAGAGAAAAACCAAGAACGAUAUAGGAAAAAAUAAUGCCCGGCUCUAAAAAUCCCCGGUAAUUGGAAAUAUCCUGAAACUCUGCCAAAAUUUUCAAAAAAAGAGUCAAGGAAAAAGAGUCUUUUCAAAAUGAGUCAAUAAUAUGUCUCUUUCAAAUAUGUCAAAAUUGAUCGAACUACGCAGGUCUGAUUCUCACCGGAUGUGGGAUACAUAGGCAACCUACAUAAGGUUCAGCCUUACUUUUCAAAAAAGAAAAGAAAAAGAAGAAGAAGAGUAAAUAGUCAAAUAGAUGUAGUUUGGGUUCUGGUCAAAAGAGUAAGCCGACCCAGCUUCGGUUAUGUCUUAAGUCGUUCUUGUUGGGAUAGCCUUAGAGUAUCUUUCAGUUGUCGAAUAGCUAUUUUUCGUAAAGAACAGAUAAGUCUGUCGGUAAAGUGUCAUUUUUCCAUAAAGUACUUUUCCCCGUCCUCAAAAUUUAUUUGGAAUUGUGAAGGGGCCACGUUUGCAAAAAACGAUCACUUUUGCUAAAAGUAGCAUAGAGGGGAGGGGGUCAUGGUCCGUUGAUUUUUCUUUUAGAAAUUGAAAAACCUGUAUUACAAAAAGUCCACCAGAGUCAAACCUAACCUUAACCUUCCACAGGUACAAAUGAACAUUGUCCAAAAUUCGUCAGAGUUGGUCAUAGACCAGGCUCAGCUGCAGCUGCAUAUGUGGUGGAAUGAUCUAGAUGAAUAUGGUCGGGAUUGGGUAAAAGAGCAGUUGGGUGCCCUUAUAGACAUUCUGGAAGUCGAACCACGGAAAGAUCUAAUCAAGGCUUUGGUAACUUUUUGGGACCCCGUCCACAAUGUUUUUCGUUUCUUGGAUUUUGAGAUCACCUCUACUCUGGAGGAAAUGGCCGGGUAUAUUGAGUUUGGUCGGAACUUGAGGAAACAACAACUUAUAUUCCCAAGGGCUCCUUCUGUGCACAAGUUCUUUGACCUUCUGAAUAUCAGUAAGCAAAUGAAGAAGGCCCAUGUAAACAAAGGAUGUUGUUCUUUCUACUUCUUCUACUUCAGGUUUGGGUACUCAGUUGGGUUCGAAACGCAUGAAAAGGUUUUGAACAACAAACAAGAUAAGGGCAUCUGGCAAAUUCAUCGUCGGUUCGCUUUCAUUGUGGCGUUUUGGGGAUUAUGGUCUUUCUAAAUGUAAAAGGGACAACAGAUAUCCGUAUGGCCAUAAUUGCACAAAUCCUCACUACUAAGAAAGAUCAUACACUUGCUCUAUUAGUGCUAGCAGAUAUUUAUCGAGCAUUGACAUUAUGCAAGGUCGGGGCUCAAUUGUUUGAAGGUUGCAAUAUUAUUCUACAAAUAUGGUUGAUCGAGCAUCUCCGCCAUCACUCCAAAUUCAUGAGCUAUGGUUCAAGCACAGAUAAUUUCAUCAAGAGCUACGAGGAAAGGGUGAAAGACUACAAUGCUCCAGAAGGGUUUGAAGCCUAGGUCUCCCACUUGAAGGCUCUAAAAGCAAGUCAGGUCGAGUGGACUAUAGGAUGGCUCCCGAUGACAGAAGCCAUACACAUGACGGCUACCAAGGGUUAACUAACGUUGAUGGUUUAAGGUGUGUCCAGCCAUAUGCACCGCAGAGGGUCUUAAGGCAGUUAGGAAGAUAUUAGGUGGUGCUCGAAGAUGAAGAUCUAACCACCCAGGUCAUUGAGCUACACCCAGAAGCUACAUUGCCCAAGACUUUAGUUCAACAGGAUUGGAAUGGUUGCCGGUAUCUGAAAAAUAGCACCUAGGUACCAGAUGUCGCAAAGGGGGAAGUGGAUCCAUAUUACACUGCAUGGUUUGAGAAAAGGUCUUGAGCAAGAGCCCGAGCCUAAGCCCGAAAGACCUGCCAAGAGACCUCAUGUUCAAGCUUUUGAUGAUAAAGUCCAAUAAAGGUUGGCCUGGGGAUAAAAGGAGAAAAAAUAUCAAGCCACCAUUCACACCUUGGAAGAGAAAUUGAGAAACAUGGAAUUCAAUAAUGAUCUCCAGGCACAAGAAGCGGAAGGUGAAAGGAGGAGGUUGGCCAAAGAAAACAAAGCCCUUCGAGCCCAAAUCUGAAAAAUGAAAAUAGCAGCUGAGAACCCUGUCAGGAAUGAAAAGGAUAAGAAACUUAUAGAAAAGUUCAGGCUGAAAGCAGGUGGUUACGGUUUUGAGUUAGAGAAAACUGAAGCUGAACUAGCAAAGGCCCGAGCCAAGUUAGCUAAGAAUGCGGAGGGACGGGCAAGUUACAUUCGACAACUGAUGGAGAAGUACGACAAAGGAAUGGUGGGUCUAAAGAAAAGGUCAAUGUCCUUGAGAACGAAAUGACUAAGCAGGCAAAAGACUUCAAAGCAAAAAGGGAGCACUGCUAUGCCCUGAUGUCGCAAUUAGAAAAAGACCUGCAGUAGCUUCAAGAGCAAAAUCAUACAGCCGAACAAGUUUUGGGGGCAAGAUCACAGCAGAUCGGAUGGUUGCUACAAGAGAAGGGUAUUGUUAGGGAGAGGGUUAGGAGGAUUGCAGACUACAUUGUGAUGAAGUGUAAUGAAUGCGAGGACAUGACCAGGUCCAUGUUCUUCGCUUCAGUUAUGAUUUUUGUCCGGCAGAUCAUGGAUGACCUAUUUUGCCUCCAAGAAGAUAUGGCGCAUAAGCCUACAGCGAGACCGACUGAUGUCCCGCUAGCCCCUAGAGCAGCAGUUGAGGCUCUCAUGUAUUUCUGAUUUUAUUGUUCGAGUCUAUAUUUUUAGUUUCUUUUUGAGUUCGUUAGUCCACUUUCGAGUCUUUAUUUUCAUCUUUCUUUUGGAGUAUGUUAAUCCACCUUUCGAGUCUAUUAGUUUUUAUGUUUAAUUCUGUAGGAAAGUCAUUGUAAUCAGGAUGUUUUUGUUUUUAUUUUAUUUUAUGAAAAUUUGAAUACACCAAAAAAUGUAUCUUUCUUUUAUUUUGCAUUUAUUCCCUGAACUACGUAAUGAUCUGAUUCAUGUGGCAUCAUGAUAUGUAGGCAAUCCCCAUAGGAUUCGAUCAUAACCAUAAAAUUAAAAGAAAAAAAGGAGAGAAAAUAAAAGGAAAUUGAGGGAAAAGAAAUAAUGGCAAAACAAAAGAGAAAAGCGAGCGCAAAAUAAAAGGAAAGUAACAAAAACAAGUGGGAAAGGCCAAUAGUGAUUAAAGAGGGAUUGGAGUAAAAAAAGAAGAGAAAGUGUAAAAUGAGAAGAGUUAGUUAAAAGUCGGGAUGAAGCAUGCAGCCGUUCAAAUACACGAUAAAAGCUUUAACUGUUUAGGUGCAUUGCAUCCCAAAUGUGUGGUUGCCUAUGUGUUAAAUCUUAAACACUAACAAGUUGUUGUUGUCAUUGAGGACAGGAAGGUGGUUAGUUUGUUUGGCAUUCUGGCAACUCAUCCGUAAAAUACCAAGUCUAAAAACAAGUUGAUCAUGGCUGGACAGGAACUGGACACAAGUAUUAUUGAUCCACCAAGAGAGGUGGAGGAGUCUGAGGUUGGUUUAAAAGAGGAGUUACAUAAGUUGAAACACCAGAUGGCCAAAAUGUACCAGACAUGGAUGAAAGGGCAUCCACUAUCAUCAUACCCCACCAACCCUGCUUUUAUCCCGUCACUAGCUCAAUCUCAAGAACAUCCCAGUGUUGAUUCAUCCCCACAACAUGCACCAAGCUUCACCCCUUACCACCACUAUCAUGUCACCACUUCCCAAACCAUACAAGCUCCACCGGCCAAAACAACCCCAUACCCCCUCCAUUAGCUACCCCUAUUUUUGUAGCACCUCCACCAGCUACACUCCAUCGAUCUUCCAAUGAGCCAUUAUUCCAGACCCAAGAUAAUUAGUACUAUCCCCCAAAUCCUACUUUAAAGGCCCCAGAUCAUUACUCCUACACUCCUCGUUUCGACCUCCCUGUUGAGACUGAGAAACCACCUAAAAACCCGAAAUAGGAGGAGAUGUUUAGAAAGGUGAGAAGCCUGGAAUAAUCGCUCAGAAACAUGCAAGGGUUGGGAGGUCAAGUAAGUGUAGCCUACAAAGAUCUGUGUUUGUUCCCUGACGUACAACUACAUGUUGGGUUCAAAAUGCCCAAAUUUGACUUGUAUGACGGGCACGGAGAUCUCGUGGCCCACUUAAGGGGAUUCUGCAGUAAAAUGAGAGGAGCCGGUGGGAAAGAUGAGUUGUUAAUGGCAUACUUUAGCCAGAGUCUGAGUGGCGCGGUAUUGGAGAGGUACACUCGUCAGGAUCACAACAGAUGGUAUACCUAGGAUGAUUUGGCCCAACCAUUCGCUCGUCAUUUCCAAUACAACAUCGAGAUUGUUCCAGAUCAUUUGUCUUUGACUAAGAUUGAGAGGAAGCCUAUUGAAAGUUUCAGGUAAUAUGGUUUCCGCUGGAGAGAACAGGCAGUAAGGGUUAACCCUCCAAUGGAGGAGAACGAAAUGGUGGAAUACUUUCUUCAGGCCUUGGAGCCUACUUACUUUGGUCAUCUGAUCUGGGUCAUAGGUAAGUAUUUCAGUGAAGUAGUAAAAAUGGGAGGAAUGGUAGAGGAAGGGCUCAAAUCAAGCAAGAUCAUGAGCUACUCUGCCAUCAAAGCAACUACACAGGCAAUCCAAAAUGGCACCAGAGGCAUUCUUGGGAAAAAGAAGAAAGAGGAUGUCGCUAUGGUCGUUUCAGGAUCAUGGCACAGCCCGGGGGAUUCUCCUACCCACUACACCCAACCUCGACCCCAGCUUCAAACCUAUACCCCAACUCCAUAUAAUCCAUCCCAACACUACUUCCCUUCACCAGAGCCUCAGUACUCAGUCAGGCCACCCCAAUAUCAUGUCCAUCAUGCACAGUCAUAUACUCAACCCCUUCCUCACCCGCAAUGACGUGCUCUAGCUCCAUGAAACCCUUAACCACCUCCACAAACAUACCAAAACCCUACUGGUCCAAAUUUUUGGGCCAAGCCGGAAUGAAAGGUUGCAGCGAAAGAAAACUUUCACCCCGCUUGGGGAAUCUUAUACCAACCUAUUUCAAAGGUUGAGGCAGUUGGAUAUUCUGAGGUCAAUUGAGUCAAAACUACCAAACCCCCUCCUAAGAACCUGGAUUAUUCUCUCAGAUAUGCGUAUUGUUCUGAUACUCCGGGACAUAACACAGAAAAGUGUUGGCAUUUGAAGAACGCUAUCCAAGAGCUCAUUGAUACGAACCAGAUUGUGGUCUAGAGCCCAAAAGCACCCAACAUCAAUCAGAACCCAUUACCAGCAUAUGCUGAAAUGCACAUAAUUGAGAUAGUGCACAAAUAUGGGAAGCCCAAAAAGCCUUCACAAUCUGUCAUGAUGAUCCGGUCUAGUGUAAGUAAGUUAGUCAAGGACCCGGUUGUCAUGAAAGCAACCUCUUCAAUAGCUGAAGGAUCGGCAGACAAGUUGAGCAUGCCAAAUGAUAAGCCAACUGUGGUAGUUGAAAAGAGGUCCCCAAGUGAUGUUGUAGAGAAGAAAGAAAAGCCAAAGGUGAUCGUGCCAGAGGUAGCAAGUAAGCCGGUCAUAAUUGUGGAGGGUGCUCGCACGGACCCUAUCAUUAUCAAACUUGUGACCCAGCUACCGAUAGCUAACACCAAGACUAUUCCAUAGAACUAUGAGCGAGUGAUAGUGACCUAUAAGGGGAAGGAAGUGAAAGAGGAAGUUAACGAGGACCAGGAAUUAACUUGUUCGGGGAGAUGCUUUUCCCUGGAAGAGUUAAGGAAAGCUAAAACACACAGAGACAAUCCAAUUCUAGUGAAGAAUCUGGUCACUAAAGAAGAAGCGGAGGAGUUUUUGAGAAAAAUAAAGGUACAAGAUUACUCCAUCGUGGAACAGUUGAGAAAGACUCCUGCUCAAAUUUCCCUGUUAUCAUUGUUGAUCCAUUCAAAUGAGCACCGCCGGGCCCUAAUGAAGAUUCUGAACGAAGCUCAUGUCCCCGACAAAAUCACAAUGAACCAUUUGGAGAAGAUUGCCAAUAAUAUAUUUGAGUCUAACAAGAUCACAUUCUCGGAUGAUGAUUUGCCUCUGAAAGGUACAGAACACAAUCGGGCCCUCUAUCUCACAGUGAAACGCGAAGAUUUUAUGGUCAUAAGUGUGUUAGUUGACAAUGGUUCCAGCAAAAACAUCUGCCUUCUCUCUACACUGAACAAGUUAAAAGUUGAUGAUAAGAGGAUUCACAAGAACAACAUAUGUGUUCGAGGUUUUGAGGGGGGGAAGACUCUGUUGGCGACAUCAUGCUCUAGUUGACAAUAGGACCAAUCGAAUUCACUAUGGAGUUCCAGGUACUGGAUGUGGUUGUUUCUUACAAUUUCCUGUUGGGAAGGCCUUGGAUACAUGUUGCCAAGGCGGUUCUGUCUUCGUUACACCAGAUGGUAAAGUUCAAAUAGGAUAGACAAGAAAUCUUCGUGCAUGGUGAUGAAAACUUAUGUGCUUUCAAUGAUACAUCCAUCCCGUUUAUUGAAGCUGAAGAAGAUAAGGGGUCGUGGGUCUAUCAAGUUUCCGAAACAGUAUCGGUUGAAAAGAUUCCGGAAGGGGAAUACAUUCCAAGUCCAAGGCUAGCUUCUGCAAUUAUCAUAGUAGCAACUGAAAUGUUGAAAAGUGGUUUUGUGCUGGGCAAGGGUCUGGGUAUAACUCUGCAAAGUAUCGUGCAGCCAGUGUCUUUGCGUGAAAAUCUGGGUACAUUUGGUCAGGGGUUCAAAACUAUAGGGGAUGAUAUGAAGGAGUCUAGAAAGCUAAAAAAGAAGGCAUGGUCGCUCCCUAAGCCAGUCCUACGUCUCUCCAGGUUUUUCAUCAAGGCACAGGUCGUGAAACGUCCAGUGACAACAGUUCCAAAGCCUGUGGUUGAUUUUGAUAAGGAAUUGGUUAAAAGGUUCCAGAGUCUGUUUGAUAAGGUAAACAUGGUAGAAACUGGGGAAGGUUCUGGAAAAGCGGAUAUGCAGUUUAUUAGGUCAAAAGUAAAGCUUAACAAUUGGGAUGACACUCAUCUCCCUUCCCAGAAGGAGUUUUGGUAGUUUGCUUUAUUUUCCUUUCAGUUAUCUGGAUUAUUCCAGGAUUGUAAUUCAAAUUUUUAUUUUUCGUCUGUUUAAUGUACAAACCCUUCUAUCCUUUAUUUUUAAUGAAAUGCAAUUUCCCUUUUCCAUUACUCCUGAGAGUGUCAUUUUCUUUUCUUUCUUUGUACAGUUCUUUUUAUGCUGGUUUCAAUGACAUGACAUGCAUGAGGAAUCUUCAGCCAAGUCUUAAAAGUCAAUCUAACUCUGAAAUAAUAAUCCAAGAAAUAGAGUGUGAUGAUGAAAUAGAAUAUGAUGAAGAGGAAGCAUUUGAGGAAAUUAGUAAAGAGCUAAGUCACUUUGAAGAGAAACCCAAGCGUAAUUUGAAUGAAACUGAAGCAAUCAAUUUAGGGGAUCCAGAUAACAUCAAGGAAACCAAGAUAAGUGUACACUUAGAACCACAAAUCAGGGAGGAAAUAAUCAAAGCCCUGUUUGAAUAUAAAGACAUUUUUGUGUGGUCAUAUGACGACAUGCCAGGUCUAAGUACUAACUUGGUGGUUCAUAAACUGUCCACUGACCCGACAUUCCCUCCCGUCAAGCAAAAGUUAAGGAAGUUCAAAACUGAUAUGAGUGUGAAGAUCAAGGAAGAAAUCACAAAGCAGUUGGACGUAAAGGUCAUUUGAGUCACGUGAUACCCCACUUGGUUAGCUAAUGUUAUGCCAGUGCGAAAGAAGGACGGCAAGACCAGGGAGUGCGUUGAUUACCGAGAUCUCAACAAAGCAAAUCCAAAGGAUAUUUUUCCAUUGCCAAAUAUCCACAUUCUGAUUGACAACUGUUCCAAGUAUGAGAUUGGGUCUUUUGUGGAUUGCUAUGCGGGAUACCACCAGAUCUUGAUGGUGAGGAGGAUGCAGAAAAGACAACAUUCAUCACACCAUGGGGAACUUAUUGCUACCAGGUAAUGCCAUUUGGUUUGAAAAACAUUGGGGCAACUUACAUGAGGGCAAUGACUACUAUGUUCCAUGACAUGAUACACAAGGAGAUUGAAGUUUAUGUGGAUGAUGUGAUCGUAAAGUCAAAGCAACAGGCCGACCAUGUCAAAGAUUUGAGGAAGUUUUUCCAAAGAUGCCGCAUGUAAAAUCUUAAGCUUAACCCUGUCAAGUGUGCAUUUGGUGUUCCGUCUAGAAAAUUGUUGGGAUUCAUAGUUAGUCAUUGAGGCAUUGAGUUGGACUCGUCGAAGAUCAAAGCUAUCCAAGAAUUGCCACCUCCAAGGAGCAAGACUGAGGUAAUGAGUCUGCUCGGGCGUUUAAACUACGUCAGCAGGUUUAUUGCUCAACUCACAACAACUUGUGAGCCCAUCUUUAUGUUGUUGAAGAAGAAUGAUGCGGUACAAUGGACUGAUGAGUUCCAGGAGACAUUUGAUAAGAUAAAGGGGUACUUGUCAAGCCCACACAUGUUGGUCCCACCGAAACCCGGGAUACCUUUGAUUCUCUAUUUGACGGUCUUGGACAAUUUAUUUCGGUUGUGUGUUGGGUCAACAUGACAUCACUGGAAGGAAGGAGCAAACCUUCUAUUAUCUCAGAAAGAAGUUCACAUCCUAUGAGGUUAAGUACACUCCCCUUGAAAGGACGUGUUUCGCCCGGACUUAGGUGACACAAAAGUUGAAGCAUUAUUUGUCAUCCUACACUACUUACCUCAUUUCUCAUCUAGAUCCUCUAAAGUAUAUCUUUCAGAAACCUAUGCCCACAGGAAGACUUGCAAAGUGGCAAAUUUUGCUCACAGAGUUUGACAUUAUCUAUGUAACUCGAACCACGAUGAAAGCCCAAGCAUUGACCGAUCAUUUGGCUGAGAAUCCGGUGGAUGAAGAGUAUGAGCCAUUGAGGACUUAUUUUCCUGAUGAAGAGGUGAUGCAUAUUGAUGAGGUGGAACAGGAUGACAAGCUAGGUUGGAAACUUUUCUUUGAUUGCGCCGCUAACAUGAAGGGUGUCGAAAUAAGGGUUGUGCUCAUUUAUGAAACAGGGCAUCACUACCCUGUUACAGCCCAGCUUCGUUUCUAUUGUACCAACAACAUGGCUGAGUACGAGCCAUAUAUUUUGGGAUUGAGGUUAGCGGUAGAUAUGGGAGUCCAGGAAGUCUUGUUAUUGGGAGACUCCGAUCUUUUGGUGCACCAGAUUCAAGGAGAAUGGGAGACUCGGGAUUUAAAGCUCAUACCGUAUCGACAAUGUUUGCAUGAUCUUUUCCAACAGUUUCAAUCGAUAGAAUUCAGGCAUAUUCCAAGGAUCCAUAAUGAGGUUGACGAUGCUUUGGCUACCUUGGAAUCAAUGUUGCACCAUCCGGACAAAGCUUAUGUUGACCCUCUACAUAUUCAAGUUGGUGAUCAGCAUGCCUAUUGUAAUGUGGUUGAGGAAGAACUUGAUGGUGAACCGUGGUUCCAUGAUAUCAGGGAAUACAUCAGGAUAAGGGUAUAUUCGGUACAAGCCAUAGGUGAUCAAAAGAGAACAAUUCGAUAUUUGGCUAGUGGAUUUUUCUUGAGCGUGGGGAUCUUAUACAAGAGGACUCCAGAUCUUGGGUUGUUGAGAUACAUAGAUGCUAAACAAGCCACGACUAUCAUGACAGAAGUGCAUUCCAGGGUUUGCGGGCCACAUAUGAGUGGGUAUGUUCUGGCAAAGAAAAUUCUUCGAGCAGACUAUUACUGGCUCACCAUGGAACGGGAUUGCAUCAGUUUUGUGUGCAAGUGUCAUCAGUGCCAGGCACAUGGAGAUUUGAUUCAUUCUCCGCCAUCUGAGUAGCAUACAAUGUCCGGAACGUGGCCCUUUGUUGAUUGGGGCAUGGAUGUCAUUGGACCAAUUGAGCAUGAGGCAUCAAACGGGCACAGGUUCAUUUUGGUGGCCAUCGAUUAUUUCACUAAGUGGGUUGAAGCUAAGACUUUCAAAUCUGUGACCAAGAAGGCAGUGGUCGAUUUUGUUCAUUCAAAUAUCAUUUGUCGAUUCGGAAUCCUAAAGGUAAUCAUCACAGAUAAUGGUGCUAAGCUUAGCAGUCAUCUGAUGAAAGAAGUAUGCCAGCAAUUUAAGAUCAUCCAGCGAAAUUCCACUCCAUAUCGCUCCAAGGCAUAUAGAGUUGUUGAGGCGGCCAACAAGAACAUAAAGAAGAUACUUCGGAAAAUGGUGCAAGGUUCCAGGCAAUGGCAUGAAAAGUUGCCCUUUGCUUUGCUGGGUUAUCGCACUAUUGUUCGCACUUUAGUAGGUGCAACUCCUUAUUUGUUGGUAUAUGGUACUGAAGCAGUGAUACCCACGAAAGUAGAAAUUCCAUCUCUUCGGAUUGUUGCUGAAGCCGAAAUUGAUGAUGAUGAGUGGGUCAAAACCCGUUUGGAGUAAUUAAGUCUGAUUGACGAGAAAAGACUGGCGGCAGUGUGUCAUGGCCAGUUGUAUCAAAAGAUAAUGGCAAUAACAUACAAUAAGAAGGUGUGUCACCGAAAAUUUUAAGUGGGUUAGCAAGUAUAGAAACACAUCCUUCCACAUCAGGCUGAAGCGAAAGGCAAGUUCGNNNNNNNNNNNNNNNNAGAGAAGAAAAAAAAAGAAAGAAAAGAAUGGAAAAAAGUAUAAAAAAGAAAAGAAAAAAGAAAAGAAAAAAAGAGAGAAAGAAAAAGAAAAAGAGAAAAGUAACAACAACAAAGUAAUUCCUAUGUCAUGAACUACGUUCGACCUGAUUCCUUUUAAGGAUACGUAGGCAGCCUCACGGUUCGAUCCCAUCAAAAUAAAAAUUCAAAAGCCCCCAAGCAAAAAACUGGGGCAGAAGUUGCGGUUUUAUAAAAGAUCUGAUUCCAAAAGUUGUAAUUUUGAACCCAUUGAAGUGGUUUUGAGCCUUUAUGAUAUCCUUUCUUUCUAACCAUAUCCAAAAAUCUGCAUUACGGUCCAAAAAAAGACCUUCCGACCAAUAUUUAAGAGUGCCACGUCAAGCGAGAUAGAGGUAUGAUUCGCAUCAGGGGCAACACUCCGAGCUGCACAAGGAAAAUGAAUAAUGAGAGAGUCCUAUUGGUGAAAACUAUCUCGGGCACCGUAGGGCGAUAGAAAGAUGAGAGAAAUCGAAAUGAGAAAGUCUUAUCGGUAAAGACCUUCACGGGCACCGUAAGGCAACAGUGAGUUGAGAGAUGAACAAAUGAGAGAGGUUUGUUGGUGAAAACCUUCAAGGCGCCGCAAGCCGAACAAGGUUUGUGACUUUGCAAAGAGAUUGAAAUAUGGAAAUCCCGGGGCAUAAAGUAUGAUAACUGAAAGGUGAUUGGUUGAACAAGUUGGGCUGAUAAAUCCAAAAUGCAUGACAUGAUCAUUUGUGCCAGCUGCCUCACUCAGAUAAGUCUCUUUUUCUUUUCCCUCUCAAACAGUCAUCCUGUUUCGAAUUUUCUUCUUUAUUCCUAACUCUCGAAGUCAUUGCAUUUCAUUUCUUUUGGGUUUAUUUCUCUAAGGAUUUUCCAAUGUCAGACUUGUUUAAGCAAGUAAGGAAGGAUUUAAAGCUUUCUACCAACUUCCAAAUUGCACAAAGCAAAGUGCGGCCAAAACAUACCAGAAAUAGCAUGAUGCAAAAUGGAAAACAAGGUGUUACUAAAAGUUCCAUUGGUCGAGUGGUUUGUGAAUUUUGUGGAAAAUACAGAGGUUCAAAUUAGGAGAACUGAAAUAUGAAACAACAGGUUGAGUGUAGGGCACUUGAGUCAUUCAGGGCCUUGUGUUUGAGGUUCAGUCAGAAGGUCAAACAAUUCUUUGCUAGUACAUGGCAGUCAGUCAGAACAAAGCACAGCAGUGGAAAGGCCACCUUCAGCAAGAAUGCCACAAACUAACCACCACAUUUUCAAACUAAUAAAAUUUUCUUUGAUUGAAACAGGGGCAGGAAAUUUUGUUUAUUCCGGAAGAACACUCUGUGAGGAAAGCAUGUACCGGACAGGUUCAACCAUAAAUCUUCAGGACCCUCCUGGAUAACGGGGUUUAAUUUAAAAUUUUUAGGACCCUCCUAGAUAAUUGUAUUUGAUUUAAAGUUCUCAGGACCCUCCUAGAUAAUGGAACCUAGUUAAAUUUCAAAACCUUCAUAGAUAACAAGAUUUAACGUAAAUUCUACCUUUGAAAAAUAUAAUUUAGCUUUAAAGUUGUCACUCUUAAGAUGAGAUUUAAUUUGAAGUUUUCAGGGCCCUCCUGAAUAAUGGGAUUUAGCUUUUAAAUUCUUAUAGCUCUUUUGAUAACAUGAUUCGAUUAACACUCACAUAUGUGCCCAGAUACAAAACUGGGCCAGAAAAGUUUUUUUUUGUUUAUUUUGUUGUAAUCAGGCACCCACCUAGAGAACAAGGAAUACAAUUCAAGUUUUGGUAAUCAGGCUCCCACCUAGAUAACAGGGGAAUACAAUUCAAGUGUUGGUAAUCAUGCGCCCACCUGGAGAAUAAGGGAAUGCAGUUCAAGUUUUGGCAAUCAGGCGCCCACCUGGAGAACAAGGGAAUACAGUUCAAGUUUUGAUAAUCAGGCGCCCACCUAGAGAACAAGGAAAUACAGUUCAAGUUUCGGCAAUCAGGCACCCACCUGGAAAACAAGGGAACUCAUUUCAGAAUCCAAUUCGAGUUAGCAACAAUACAAGCUCUCCUUGAGAGUACGAGCCAGCAAUUCAAGAUGCACCGCAGAGCUACAAAGGAUUCAAGAUCAAGUUUUGAAGACAUAUGGAUAGGAACUUUGUAACUCAUAGCUGAUAGGCUUAGUUAGUUCUUUUAGAUGUUGAUGUAAUAACAGGACCACGGACCGGAACCUCCACGAAACGGCACCCUACUCGACUCUCCAACUCAUCCUUCCAUCAUUUUCUAGAACUACAUUGACAUGAUUGCUUUAUAGCCAACGAUAUGUAGGCAACCUCGAAAGCAAGAUUUGGUCAGAUCUUUCAAAAAUUCUUCCCAUGGAGUAUCCAAACGGGCAAAAAUCGCUCGUAUCCGCUCAUUUUAUCUUUGCCCGAAAACUCUUCUUAUUUUCGAGCAAAAAGGGGCAUCUGUGAGCAUGUGAUUUUUUCCAUAUGUAAAAUACUCCUACAAAUUAAAGAAAUAGAUUUUUCCCCAAUUGUUUGCAAUUUUCUAGGAUUUUUGUUUAUUGUUUGCAUUUGUGUGCAUGUUUACUUUUUAUUAAAAUCAUGAAAAAAUACCAAAAAUACCAUGCAUUGCAUUUAGAUUUUGUGUUCACAUUUUGGGAUUAAUUAAUUAAUUAAUUGCUUAAUUAAAAAUGAAAAUUACAAAAAAGGCUCAUUUUUACAUUUUUGCCUUUAAUUCUAGAUCAGUAGUUUUUCCCUUGUAAUUAGGAUUAAUUAAUUUUUAUAAAUCUUAUAAUUUGAUAAUUAGUUUGAUUUUACAACUUAGACCAAUUUAGGGUUUAAUUUAGGAUUUUUAUUAAUUAAAUAAACAGAAAAGAAAAAUAAAAGAAAAGGAUUAAAAAAAGAAGGAAAAGAAAGAAAACAUGGUUCUAAAUUCAAAUUGGGCUGACAUUUUAGCCCAAUUCUUACACCAAAUCCGCCCAAAUACAUCCCUUACCUAGCCCAAAACGCCUCAACCCGCCCAGCCAACCGGUUCGACCCGCCCCGCUUUCCCCAAAUAUAAGAUACAUAUUAUAAACAAAGACCCAACCCUAAAUUUUGCUCCCAAAUGGCACCCAGCACUAUUCAUCAUCUUCUUUACCCCAAAUCGGUCCCAACUCGCCUGAAACUCAGGCAAAUUCACUCACACACGGGCCCCAUCUCACCACGUCACCAAGAUUCUAACGGCUUCUGACAAAUUUCCUCUCCCAUGUGUUGGACGCGUUUGGGAAUUUCUGAUGGAUGAAUUCCGUAAAAUGGGAGUCGUGGAUUGGUUUUCGGAUCAAUCAUUUCCUUCCACCUGUCCGGAUUCGUUCUAAAAAGGAUUUUUUCGGAGUUCUUGAAGAAAAAAAGAGAAACUUCGAGAGAGGGGUAUACAUACCCAGGUCUGGUUUCAGGUUGAGGGGGUGGGAUUUUUUUAAGGCAUAGGUCAUUUGAGAAAAUUAGGAUUCUAGAAAAAGCUUCUCUUCUUCUCUUUUGUUCAUCUGCAUUUUUUUUAUUUAAUUCUAUUCACAAUAGAAAAAAUAAAAUAAAAUUGUUUCGUUUAGUUUGUUAUUAGUAUCUUUGUUCUCUUCAUCUUUAAAUUAAAAAAAUUCACCUUUAUUAUGGGUUUGGACUGAGUUCGAGAGCUGAGGUUUGUUCGAAGGCCACAGUUUGCGGCUCCGAGAUUAAUUUAUUGUUUUUGUACGUAUCAAUUUUUCGCAGAUCGAAGAAAGAUCAUUACAUGUUUAUUUCUUUCCUUCGCUACUUUUCUGGUGUGCAAAAUAUGAUGAAAUCUUAGAAAUAAAUGUUUGAGUUUGAGAUUUAAUAGAAGCGUUUAUUUGCGAGUCUCGUAUGGUGUCGACUCUGGAUUUUGAUCGAGCUCUGUUUCAUCUUUGUGCUUAAAGCAUUUUUCUGAGUUUGGAUUUACUUAUUUUAAAUGUGUUCAAUUGAAUUCCAGCCUGAUUUUUGAUUCCAUAAGUCUCUUAGAGUACUCUUAGUGUCAUUUUUAGGCUUAAACUUGCUCAAAACAUGUUUACUUCAAUUUUGAGGUCAUUGUAUGAAGGUUCAGUGAUUGCUCGUUAUGGUCUCAUGAACAUCUCUAUUUGUUUAGUUAAAUUUAAGCUUUAAAAAAUGAAAUCAAAAAUCAUCUUCUGAGUUCCUUGCUUAUUUCUAUAUGAACUAGCAUCGAGUCUUGUCUUCGAGUAUAAAUUAAUGUCAAGUUGUUCUUUACCUCACAUGUUCAGGAACGAGUUUUUAGGGAAUCCUUUUGUUGUUGGGGUUUGAAUUUGAAAUGAGUGCUGAAAUCAUUUUUGGUUCUUCUUUGAAAUGCUGGGAAUUUGAAAUCAUCUGAUGUUUGAAUUUGAAAUGUUGGGAAUCCUUUCUUUCUUCUUUUUUCUUCUGUUUGUUUUUUCUGUUAAGAUAUGCUAGUAAUUCAGCUAAAAAUCAGUUUGAAUUUGUGUCAGUUUCACGCUAGGUCUAUUCGUUUCUUAAUGAUUAGAGUCUGAAACUGUCCUAAUUCAUAUGUCGAUAAAAAUCCAUUUGUGCUUCUUUGACAUGGUUUGAAUUGUUUGUGACUUUCAUCCUUAAGGAUUUCAAAAGGAUAAGCUAAGGUGUUCCAGUAGUCUAGCCUCGUUCAUUUAAUUAGUGUUUUAAAGUCAGUUGUUGGCAAGACAUAACUAGUAUUUGAAAACUUGCUCAUAUUCAUGUUUGAGUCCCUGCGGGUUAGGUUCAUGUUUUGAUUUCCAAACUUCUGUUAAUUGUCAUGUUUAGAAUUAACUGUUGCUAGAAUUAUUUGUAAGAUCGAUGUUGUAGUUGAAUGGAAAAUGAGUAUUUGUUGUUGGAUUGAGUUGGUUGAAGUCAAGUCAUAAUUGGUCUGAUUGCCUAAGUCUACUGGUGUUUCGAUCCUCUUUGUCAUGCCCUUGCACUAAUUUAUACCAGUUUUUAUCUACAAAUGAAAGAUAAUUUUAAGAAGUCAUGUACUUGAUGCAUAUUUGAUCUUUCCAGUUGUGUGGUCGAAUUUAAGUGCCAAUUGAAUUUUAGAAUUGUUCUUUAGUAUUCAAUGAUUGUUGUCAAUCCGUUUGGUUCGUUUUGGCAGUUAGAAUUGUUACAAUCCCUUGCUAAGCUUUAAUCGGGUCGUAUUUUAAAAUAGUUAGUCAAGCAAACCAUAUAUUCUGGCUAGCUUGUCUCAAAAAAUUAUUUGGUAUUCUUGGGUAAUGCUAGGGUUGCCGAGAAACUUGCCUCAUUAAAUUGGAAUGCACAUGAACUUGAUUUAAUUUUUAAAUCUUUCUCAAUUUGGAGAAUGUGUAUUUGCUAAGAAUAACUUUGUGUUGAUUGAUUCAAUGACUUGUUAUAAGUAUUGACUCAUUUCUUCAUAUUUCCAUCUUAAUUGAGUUUGGUACAGAGGCAUAAGGUUGAACAUAUGGUUCCAUUAUUAUAGUUUCAUUCAUUUGCUUAAUCCGUUAGUGCUAACGAAACUAAAGAUUGUGCUCUUUCUUUUGUUGGCAUGCUUGUGAUUAAAAAUGUUGGGUGUGGUGUUUAGUGUAAAAUGAUUGUUUAGUUUGUUGUUUCAGUUAAUUGUUGGCAUCAGAAAAUAGGACGCUAGAGGAAAAGAACCAAAUCUGAGGCUGAUUACAUAAUAUGUCCUUAAAUAUAGAAACAAGUUGAGAUUUUUUGAAUGUCUGAAACUUUUGCGAUCAACUUGUGAUGAAUGAAUGGUGAAAAAUAAACCAUCGUGGUUGUGUACACGUUCGCGUGACAUAAUUACGAUCUUAAAAACAAAAUCGGAGUAUGCGUUCGUGCAACUUCAACCAAAAUUUCUUAAUAAUAACAAAACGUUAUUAAUUUUGGACACGUUCGCGUGACAUGAUUUUUGACGUGCCAAGUAAAUGGGUACAUGUACGCGUGACUCGUUCUUUUAGGAUAAUUUCUUAAUUAAAAGAGGUGAAAGCACAUAGGUUCUAAAAAGGGUAAUUAGACAAUUUGAUUAAGCCAAGUAUGAUCAAAGUAACCGUGCUAGAACCACGGAACCCGAGAAUGCCUAACACCUUAUCCCGGGUUAACAGAAUUCCGUACACCUAUUUCUGUGUUCGCAUACCAUAAAUAAGAGUCAACUUCCUCGAUUCGGAGUUUUAAACUGGUGACUUAGGACACCAUAAAUUAUCCCAAGUGGCGACUCUGAUUUUAAUAUAAAUAAUCUCGUUUCGAUUGUCACUUAAAUUGGAAAAAAACUCCCUUAUACCCCUUUUUGGGGGUAGUAAAAAGGAGGUGUGACAUUCAUAUAAAAACAACUUAAAGUAUCAGCCAUAAGAACAACAAAAGACACUAGGGUAGAACAGACAUCAAUUAUACUGGAUAUUGUGAAUGGAAUUGUUUAAGGGGAACUAGAAGGGGGGGAUGGGAUGAGGAGGCAAGAGUUCUGAGAAUGAUGUCCAUUCGAGCAUUUGUAUGACAUUCCUCACCUUCAGUCUGCUUAUUUCCUCAUUUGCGGCAUUCAAAGUAUCAAUCAAUUAAGAAAUAGUGGAAUUGCUGCCAACACUCCCCUUCUUGUCAAUACACUCACAUUCCUCCAAGGUUGUUUUUGAGAAGGUUUGCUUGCGAGUUCUCACUAAUUCUCUUCCCAAAGGGACUUUAAAGAAUUCAAACACCUUAAUGAGCAGGAACCCAUAAGAAAAACCAUGGUUUUCGUCCUUGAAGUCUUUCACCUUCUUCAUGUGUUUAAUCAUAAGAGGCAGAUUGAUGGUGGUGUAUGCAUCCAGAGCUUCCAUGAGGAACAUAUCUACUUUUGAGGUAAUUGAGCGUCUUUUUGCGCGUGCAAGCAAGAUAUUAUUCACUAUUUCAAAUAUAAGUUGAUACCCUAGAAAGAGGGCCUUCUUGUGCACUAGUUCCCCCUGCUGCACAGCUUGAUAAUUCUGAAUGACUCUUCUAAAAUUAGGGGAACAGGUCCCCUCAAUAGACAAGAGCCCUUCAGUGGGCACUCCCAAAAUACUCCCUAGAAUAUCCUCGUCCAUUACAAAAUUACUCCAUUUACAGUCAAACAAAGUUAUCAUCUUCCAUUGUAAACAUAUAUGCGUAGAAGCUACGAACCUCCUCCUCAUAGACCUUGGGACUCUGAUUAAUGAACAAAUGAGUCCACUUCUGAAAUUCGCAUAUAUCAACCAGCUUUCUCAUCCCUGACACUUCGAGAAUGUCAGGGAUCAAACGUUCUUUACCGUAGCACCCUCUGUUUCCUAAGGUUCUCUCUUCUUUCAGAUUUUGGUGCAGACACUUUGUCUUUCUUGGAAGAACCAGGUUCAUCUUUGUCACUAGCCUUCUUUUUCACAGACUUCUUCACAUUUUUCUCCUUCUUUUCAGACUUCUUACCAGAUUUCUCACCAGACUUCUCUCCAGACUUCUCUCCCUCAACACUCUUCACCUUAUCAACCUUCACAACUUUCACUGAUGAGCCUCUCCUAGGCUUUGGAAUCAUAGGUUUCUUAGAGAAUUUUCGAAUUAAGGAAGUAGGUUCCUCAUUCACUCCUUCAUUGUCAACUUGGACAACAUUUGCUGGAGGUACCUCCUCCUUAUUCACUAGCUUUCCCCCUUGCACCAACCUCCUUCUUUUAUUUUCUUCUUUGUUUUUCUUCAUAACGGUCUCAAAGGCUUCCUUCUUUUGCAGCCUGGUAGUGGAUCUUUUAAGAAUAGGCUCUUUAUGAACUACCCUACCAAUUCUAGCAGCAAUGAAGCUUGCCACAGUCACAUUAUCAUAGUCUUCCUCACUAUUGUCAUCUUCCUCUUCAGGCAGGGGUCUAAUCUCAGGAAUAAUAGAGUUUAGUGGCAUUGCAUCAAAGUGAGGAGAAUGAGAAGGACUAGUGCUGAACUGGGGCUCUUUUGACGAGCAUGGGGUUUCAUCCCAAGUGGGACCAGAGUGCUCUUCAUAGGCAGAAGGAUCAGGUCCCUCUGUUGUUUCCUCUGUAGUACUGACUGGUGCCAAGUUUUAAAGAGGCAUCAGUUCCCCACCUUCAACUCUAUGCCCUUCACAUUCACCUUGAGACCCAUUGGCCACCUCACUACCCGCAUACCCUCCAACCAACCCUCCUUCAGUAGCAAUCAGUAGCAUGUCUCUAUCGCUUCUCUCUCAUUUACACCCAGAAUAGAAUAAAAAUAUGCACGAGGAACAUUACCUAUCAGAGUGGCAAUAUUCAGAUCAAAACUUUGAGCAUGCACUUCUGAUACUUUACCACUGCCAAAAGCAUCUUAUUGGGCUUCAAAUAUUUCUCCAACCUGCUAACUAGAGACUUCUUGGCCCUCUUCUCUAUCUACUGUUUCGUCGUCUGCCAUUUGUUUCGGCAAGGCAUAGGAAGAGGUCACAACAAAAAAUAUUUUGGGGGUUUGAGUCUUAUGAUUGCAGUGAGAACCAGAACUCGGUAGGGUUGGAGAAGAGAUAGUGGGUGGUUGUUGGUCUGGUAUGAGGUUUUGACUGGGUAACGAUUAGGACCCAGACUCACGCUCCAUUGCUUUAUAAGACAAAGACACGGUAGGAAUGACACUGGAAGUAUUUGGAUCUCUGAAUUCUAAGACACAGUGGCUGUUAGAAGUAGAGACACGAGAAAGAGAGGUUUUUUUGUAGAGUGACUGGAAAAUUUUUGGCUUUGAUAUGGAUCGUUGGGAAAGAGAGGUUAUUUAGAAGGGGUAAGGGACCGGUUACAAAUGAGUGUAACUUACUGGGUAGAUGGGUCGGUUGGUAACGGGUGUGACUUUGAUUUUCAAAGGGAUGAGAGAGAGGCGAAAACAUUUAAUGACGUGACACUUUUGCAGCCGUUUAAAAUGUGCAUGAGAGUAAAAAGGAACUACUAACCUGAGUCAAGGGAACUAGGUUCCCUGACUUAGUUUUGUAAAUGUGAGCCUCAUUAUUUUACCAAUAUGCAAUGUUAUUAGUUGUUUGUUUGCUCUGUAGUUGUCAUGUGUGUUUACCUCUAACGGUAUAGAGAUGAGUUAGAAAUUACUAGAAAACACAUUUUUAGCAGAUUUACCUGUUCAUUCUUUCACAGCCAAUCAUUGAAGGACCUGGUGCUCAGUUUGAUUUUAUCAACCCCAAUGCCAGUCGAUUCUUUUCAAAGUGCUCUCUACUUAGUGCUUUGGUGAAGAUAUAUGUUACAUUAUCCUCUGUUUUGUAGAACUUCAUGUAGAUGAGACCUUUUUCAAUAUUAUCUUUGAGAAAAUGAUGUCGCACAUCAAUGUGCUUUGUUAUCUUGUGCUGAACUAGGUUCUUUUCCAUGUUCAGAGCACUAGUGUUAUUAUAUAGUAAUGGCACACAAUCAAAAAAUACACCAAAAUACGCCAGUUGUUGCUUGAUUCACAAAAGUUAAGCACAAUAAGAUGCAAACACCGCAUAUUCAGCUUCUGUAGUUGAAAGAUCCAUAGAGUUUUAUUUCUUUGUACCCCAUGAAAUCAAACAUGACCCCAGAAAAUGUGUCAUGCCGGAUGUGCUCUUUCUAUCCACCAAAUAACCAGCAUAAUCAGCAUCAUAAUACCCAAUUAAGUUAAAAUUGUCUCCAGAAGAAUAGUAGAAAACCAGGCCAUGUGUUCCUUUGAGAUACCUUAGAAUCCUCUUGGCAGCUUUCAAAUGAGAUUCCUUUGGACUUGAUUUGAAUCUAGCACAUAACCCCACACUAAAUACAAUGUCAGGUUUGUUGGUUGUGAGAUACAAGAGUGAGCCAAUGAUACCUCUGUACAUGGUUUCGUUCAUAGGAAAACCAGGUUUAUCCAUGUCCAGACGAGUGGUGGUGGCAAUAGGAGUAUCAAUGGUUUUUGAACUUUCCAUUUCAAAUCUCUUCAGAAGCUCUUUAAUGUACUUCUGCUGACUUAUCAUCGUUCCCUUAGAGGUUACUUAACUUGCAAAUCUAAGAAACAAUUCAGUUCUCCCAUCAUGCUCAUUUCAAACUCGCUUCCCAUAAGCUUGGCAAACUCCUCACACAAGGAAUUAUUUAUUGCACUAAAGAUGAUAUCGUCAAUAUAAACUUGCAUAAUGAGAAGGUUCCUCCCUCAUUUCUUCAAAAAUAUAGUGUUGUCAAUUUUUCCUAUUGUAAAGCCAUUUUCCAGAAGGAACCUGGACAACCUUUCAUACCAUGCACGAAGGGCCUGUUUCAACCUAUAGAGUGCCUUGUCAAGUUUGAAUACAUGUUCAGGAUGCUCAUGACACUCAAGAGUAGGUGGUUGCUUGACAAAGACUUCUUCCUUUAAAUACCCAUUCAGAAAUGCACUCUUAACAUCCAUUUGAAACAAUUUGAAUUUCAUAUGAGGUGCAAAAACAAUGAGAAUUCUGAUGGCUUCUAUUCGAGCAACAGAGGCAAAAGUCUCAUCAUAGUCAAUACCUUCUUCUUGGUUAUAGCCUUGAACUACUAACCUGGCCUUAUUUAUUGUUGUAUUUCCAAACUCAUCAAGCUUAUUUCUGAACAUCCACCUGGUUCCGAUAACAGUUUUGCUCGAGGGUCGAGGAACCAUGUGCCAUACAUUGUUCCUUUCAAAUUGAUGGAGUUCAUCUUGCAUAACAGUAAUCUAGUUAGCAUCUUUCAAUGCUUCCUUGAUAUUUUUGAGCUCAAUUUGAGAAAGGAAAGCUGAGAAGGUAAGUGAGCUUCUUGUCUUUGAUCUGGUUUGAAUCCCAUAAUCUAGAGGAGUGAUCAUAUUUUGGAGAGGGUGUGAACUUUUGUGCUUCUAGUUAGACACUUGAGUCUUAUUGUGAGAAGACCUAGGUUCCUCUGAAUGUGAUCCAUUGUUGGCAUUAAUGGAGGAGUGAGCGAUACUUCUCAGCUCAGCAUCAGAAGUUACUUGCACGACAUCAACAACUCUGUUUUUUGUUUCAGAUGUUCUGAUGGAGGAACCAGGUUCUUCUGUAUCAGCUAGAGAUUCUGUUGCAUCUGCUUUAUUGGAUUCCUUAACUUAACUCAUCAGGCCAGCCUUUCCAUUAGCCAUAUCAAUAGCUUCUCUAGGAACCUUUGACAGCUCUUCAUCUUGAUCAAUAUUAUCAUGUGAAUCUUUCACACAUAAGUGGUGUGAUUCAUCAAAGAUCACAUGUAUGUUUUCUUCAACACAUUGAGUCCUUUUGUUAUAGACCUUGUAUGCUUUUCUUUGUGAGGAAUAUCCAAGAAAGCUUCCUUCCUCACUCUUGGCAUCAAAUUUUUCCAGCUCUUUUGUACCAUUAUUUGAGAACAAAAUAUUUGCAUCCAUACAUUCUCAAGUGAGUUAGCUUGAGUUUCCUCCCGUUCAGCAGUUCAUACAGGGUUUUGUUCAAUAGGGACCUGAUCACGCACCUGUUCACCAAGUAGCAAGCAGUGUUGACUAUCUCCGCCUAAAACCCUUUUGCAACACCAUUGUCAAUCAGCAUAGUCCUUGCCAUAUCUUUAAAAGUCCUAUUUUUUCUCUCCACAAUACCAUUUUGUUGGGGUGUUCUAGGAGCUAAAAAUUGUGACUUAUACCAUUUUCAGCACAAAAAUUCUCGAAUUUUGCAUUAUCGAACUUUGUGCCAUGAUCAAAUCUUAUACCCAAAAUAUUAUGGCACAUCUUUACUUGAAUCUGCUCACAAAGGCAGCAAAAACUGAAUAAGUUUCAUCCUUGGUUCUGGGGAACAAAGUCCAUGUGAAUUUGGAGUAGUUAUCAACUAUGACGAAAAUGUACUUCUUUCCUCCUCUACUUGGCACCCUCAUAGGUCUACACAGAUUCAUAUGGAGGAGAUCAAGUGGCCUUGAGGUUCUUACUUCUUUUGUGGGCUUGAAGGAGGACCUGACUUGCUUUCCUCUUACACGUGCAUCACACAUCUUGUGACCUUUGAAUCUUGACUUAGGCACCCCACGAACCAGGUUUUUCAUGACCAACUUGUUCAGCAACGAAAAGCUUGCAUGUCCCAAUCUUCUGUGCCACAACUCAGAAUCAUAAUCAACAUCACUCAAGCAUGUAAGAUCCCUAUCGUUCAAAAACUCAAAAUCAGCGACAUAGAUAUUUUUAAAUAUUUUGGCCACAGAACCACUUCACUAGUUACAAGAUUGGUGACAGUGCAAGUGUUUGAUAGGAAUUCCACUUUGUUUCCUUUGUUGCAAAUUUGAUAGACACUCAGUAGGCUAUAUUUCAAGCCAUUCACAUAGUACAUAUUAUCAAUUGAAUGAGUGAGUGUAUUCCCAACUCUUCCUACUCCCAGAAUGUAUCCCUUUUUGCCAUUGCCAACAGAUACACUCCCUCCUUGCAGGGCUUUGAGUGAGAGAAAAUCAUCAGUGCUUCUAGUAUAUGCUUAGAUCAGCCACUAUCCAUAUACCAUCUUUAGUUGCCUACUUUCACUGCUCCUUACGCAAACAAAUCAAGGACUAGACUUAAGAACCCAAACAAGUUUGGGUCCCUUGUAGUGAGGAAAAGGGUGGAUUAAACUUCUUCUUGUCCAAGCUAGCAUCACACGUCUUUUAUUUGAGGGACCAGGUUUUUUAGCAGUAGUUACUUUUUCAAUAAAAAUUUUGUUUUUUUGUUGGGACUGAAAUUUAGCUUUACAGGUUUCUUUAAAGUGCCCAGUGUUACCACAAUGAGUGUAAAGCCAGUUAUUAGGGAUAGUAACGUACUUGCUAUGUAGAUUGUAUGGAAUCUUUUUCUUUUGGAACCCGAUUCCCUGCCUGUUCCCCCCAUUAUUUUUACACAUGGCAGUGAUUGCAUCAGAGGACUAGGUCCACUUUAAAGAUUUUUCUCGGUCAUUUUUAACUCUGCCUAGAUCUUCUUGAAGUUGUUUAUUUCUUUCAAGUUCAUCACAGAGACUGAAUUUCACCAUUUUGAGCUCCUUUUCAAGCUUAAGAUGUGCCUCACUUGCAACUUCCUUUCUCUUAUGGGUGUUCCCAGAACUGUUUUCCCUUUUUAAUUCCUCAAUUAUUUCUUUUAGAUCCACAACUACUACCAACAAGUCAUCUCUCUCAUGCUCUACGUUUUCAAUUUUCUCAGUUAGAGCAUCUUUUUCUUUCUUUAAAUCCUCACUGGUUUCUUUUAAAUCAACCACUACUACUACCAGAUAAUUUUUCUUAUGUACUACCUCUCCUAGUUCUAUAGUUAGCACAUUUUUAUAAUUGAUGAGAUUAUGAUAAGAAUAAAGUAAAAUAUUAAGCUUGUUUUGAUAGUAAGACUUCAAAUUUCUUUGAACGCCCUGAAAGUUUACCUCAUCGUCAUCAUCAUCUUCAUCAUCGUUAGAUUUUGCCAUUAGUGCAAAGAUAGAGUCAUAUCCAACUACUUCAUUCAACGGCCAUCAUGGAAGUAUCGUCUUGUUCAUUAUCUUCCCCAGAUUCACUGGAAGAAUCUCCCCAUACAGCAGGAGCUUGUUUCACAACAUUGUCAGCAACAUCUUUUCUCUUGAAUCUCCUAUCAGGAAUCGGGUUCCUAUUGGCUGUUUUGUCUGUAUUGUGAUUGUACUGGUCUUGCUUGUACAGAGGACAACCUUUGAUGAAAUGUCCUGUCUUACUACAUUUAUGACACAAGUCAUAGCCUUUUCGUCUGCUGGAACUACCCCUUUUUGGAAUGCCUCCAUUUCUGCGAACCAUUUUCUGAAAUGUUUUUGUCAGAUAAGACGUAUCAGCAUCCUCACCACUUGAGUCAUUGUUGUCGGCCUUGAGGACCAUGUUCUUCUCCUUUUUGGGUUCUCUUUUUUCAAGUUCCUUCUUUUUCUUCAUUUCAUAUGUCUUCAGAUUUCCGAUGAGUUCAUCAAUGAUCAACUUUUGCAGAUGUUUUGCCUCUGUGAUAACAUUAACUUUGCUUUUCCAAGAACCAGGUAAUACACUAAGUAUUUUCCUGACAAGUUUGUUCUUUGGAAUGAUCUCUCCUAGAGAGUGAAGCUCAUUUAUGAUGGAGGUGAAUCAAGUGUCCUGAAUGGACUCAUCAUCCUUCAUCCUGAAGAGUUCAUACUCAGUGGUGAGCAUGUCAAUCUUUGUCUGCUUAACUUGAGUUGUUCCUUCAUAUGUGAUUUGGAAAGCUUCCCAGGCGGUCAACAUCGUUAUACUCGUUCUUUAUCUUUGGAACUGUCACUGUUUGCUCUCCAAUGGUCUUCAUGGGGACGAAAGGUCCAUCGCAGAUGACAUCCCAGAGCUCUGAUUCAAUCAUGAUAAAAUCAUGCAUCAUUAUCUUCCACCAUCCGUAGUAUUAUCCAUUGAAUCUUGGUGGUCUGUAGGUUGAUUAACCUUCUUCAAAUUUUGGUGGAGGAGUCAUGUAGAUCCUUUCUAGGUGUUAGACUUAUAGAAAGAACCUGCUCUGAUACCAAUUGAUAGAAACUUAGGGUCCACCAAACUGUAUAGAGAACCUGAUUCUCUAUCAGUUUUCACAUAACACACACAAACAGAGAUAAGUAAAAGACACAGUAGAGUUUUACGUGGAAAACUCCCAACUCACAAGAUUAAAAAUUACGACCUACACUCGUAGGAUUUCAACUUCACUAACUAAGCAAACUUUAGAUUACAAAUUAUUGUAACCUAGGAAUUAAAUUCUUAAUCCAUCACCUACUUGUAAUAACUCUAUUACAAGUCUCUUUGUAAUAACUCUAUUAUAAAGCUCACACUUUGAUUAACUCUAACCAAGACACAAACACAAGGUUUAUGGUUUUACAGAUGAUUUCCUAUAGAAUGCUUAAGCCGAGUAAGAAUUACAAGUAGUUCACUCUAAUAAAGGUACAAAAAUACUAAGGACAUAUGGUAACACAUUGCUGGAAUCUGGUCCUUCGUUCUGUUGUUGCUUUGUUUUUGAAGCCUUGAACUCACUCAAAGUCGGUAGCACACUUGAGAGAGAAAACUUAAUAAUUUAGGGUUAUGCAAGUGUGUUUUUCUCUUGCUUCAUGUUGGUAAUAUACAAGUGAGGUCAUUGGGAUGAUUCAAGCAAUUAUCUGAUACAAGGCAUGCUCCAUAAAGUGACUGUUGCACUGUUUGCACUGUUGCGUGUGUGCAGAGAAAUAGUGCAAUGACUUUACAACUGUGGAGAGUUGACUUAUACUGUCAGCAAGAGAACUGAUGUCCAUCUGUUCCUUCUACCGUUUCUUUGACCCAAAUGUUGGAACUAGUGUCAGACUUGAGGCUUGUUGUUCUAGAUCACUCUGAGGAUGUGUAACAGGUUCCCAAUCUGGUUCUUAUCAUGAAGUUUGUUAGAUCAUCAAAAUACAAAAAGUCACAUAACUUAUCAAUACAAACCAUAAACUUUCGAUUAACGGGAUUUAAUUUAACUUUGAUCACCGACGAUGUAACUACCCUGGCUAUGAAAUAAUGUACUCGAAAUAAAUUGUGAGUAAAUUCGCCUAAUUUUAGACAGACGAUAUUAAAGCAAAACUCAUCUCUCCCAACAGUUGCAACGAUUGAUAAGUGCUAUGAAACUUAAGUUACAACCACUUAGGCCUAAAAAAAUGAGACUUUCUAAGACAAGGUCUUAUUCAAUUAUCCUUUUUUCACAUGGUGACAUUUUUGGUGUUAUCCAAUAUUCAAUCUCAAGGUGAAAUAGUACCCUAAUUGAUCAGUCUUGUCGGCUUAAAGCUUCUUUUUUCUUUUUAUAUAAAAAGUUUGUGGAAUGAUUUUAAUUUUUCCACUGAAAUCUCACAUCCUUUUUGAAGAAUCUUGUCACGUUGCUUUAAAGGUCAAGUUAUUUCCGUGCGGCCAGGGCGGAUUCAAAAUUUAAAUUUUAUGAAUUUAACUUUGAAGCUUUUAGCAUGAAACCUAUCAUAUUUUUAAAGUUAUGGGUUCAUAUAUAUGUUUGCAAUUUUAAAUGAAUUUUUAUAUAUAAAUUUUACUCCGCAUUAAAAGCUAUGGGGAUCCAUUGAACCUGUCAUUGACACGCUACAUCCACCUCUGCCUAUAGGUCACAGGUUUGAGUUGUGAAAUUAAUUACUGAUACUUUCAUUAGGAUAAGCUACUUACAUCACACCUCCUAAGGCAGGGGCGGAUCCAGAGCAAGACGAACGGGUUCCGAUUAAAAAGUCACUAAAUAUCUAUAAAUGUUCUACUAUAACCCCAUAAACUAUUGUAUAUUAAGUUAUUAAUUUGAGAUUAUUAUAAGAAUCCAUAAACUUAAAAUCUUAGAUUCGCCUUUGUCUGAGGUGCGACUCUUUUCUGAAUCAUACAUAAACGUGAGAUACUUUGUGCACCCGGCUAUUUUUUGUGUCACGUUGCUUUCAAGAUCUUGAGUGGAUGAAGCAGAUAGUCUUCACUGAAUGAAAGAGAUUUUUAAGUAUUUGAUGUUUACUAAGAUAACUGUAUUGCAUGUCAUUUUCGUACAGCUUUAACACUAAUUAAUAAUUUUUAAUACUAUACGACUUCCUAGAUGAAUGGAUUUAACUAUUUGUAAAGAGUUCUUCUUUUUGUUAAGUGAUAAGUACUACAGUUAGUAAAUUUUCUUGUUUUUAGUUUUAACCCUUUGUCAAUUGUGGUAAAUAAAUCACCCUUGAAGGAAGUGUAUAACUUACUUUAAAAGGGGCAAUUUUCAAAGAGAUUUAGUACAAAGUUGUUGGCUCGAGAAUAAAAAAGCAUAUUUUGCAGCCUUAUUUUGUGGUCUAAUCACUCUUUAAUUUACCCUUGUCCUUUAUAUGUAUAUAUAUAAGUACCUGUAGCAGAGGUAAAAAGAUGCAAUACAGCCAGGGAGAAAAUGCUGGUGUUAAUUAAAAAACAUUUACUAGAUGAGUUUUCAACUAUUAAGGGCGUUUGGUACAAAAAAACAAAGAUAAUAAUUACGGAAUAGAAUUUGGGAUUGUAUUUAUCUCAUGAGUAAUUAUAAGUUAAGCAAAUCUCUGGAUAUAUUUUACACUAAAAUAAUGAGAUUAGCUAUCACAUAUAAAAGGUGGAUAGCUAAUCAGAUGGGAUCCUGUAGAAUAUCCUUGUUUAUACCAAACGAACCUUUGUAGCUCAAUGCGCUAUUGUGUUAAAUCAGUCACAGAUACUUCUAACAUAUUGUGAUAUUAUCAGCUUUAGGUCAAGUCUGCACGAUUUUUGCUCAAAAGCUUCGUAUCAUCAAGAGAUCCCUACACCUUAUAUGUAACUUCUAUCAUUUUCCACCUCGAACUAAGUUCCAUGUGGCUAACUACCACAAUCUACAGUUCAAUUUUCGAGAUUUAUUGUGUGCCACCCGCAUAGCUAUGCCAUUACUCUGUCACCAUCAUGCUUGUCCGCCAUUUGGGUUCUGAUGUCAGUUGAUGGGCUAAAUCAACCCAUAUAUAUUCUUAGAGCCCGUUUAGAUUAGCUAAUUUGAAGUAGCUGAUAAGCAUUAUGUGCUGAAAAAUACUUUAAGUGCUGAAACUGAUUUAAUAAAUAAGUAGUUACGUGUUUGGAUACAAGUGCUGAAAUUGAUAAUAAGUUGCUGCAGUAUUAGAUAAAAAAAAUACUAAUAAGCUCUUUUUUGUUAAAAUGACUUAAAUAACCUUAGAACUGUUUACAUUUAUAAGGGCGUAAUUUUUUCAAAAUUUUAGAUUCCAGAUUGAUUCAAAUACAAAAUAUUUUAUUUUAAAUACACAUGUACUUAGAUAAGAUAAUUUUUAUGAUAAAUAUAUUUAUUUUAUGAUAAGUAUAUAAUCAUAAGUUAUGGAGUAAUAAUUAAUAAAUUGACAAUUAAUUAUUUAUCUUGGGCAAAUGAGUUAUGUGGUGCAUGGUGUGAUUUCAGCAGAGGAGCAUGGUCACGUUAGGAUCAGUGUCUUGUGAUUGAUACGGUGUUCAUGUGUGAAAAUAUGGUAUCGUUAAGAAUUCCGGAUGUUGGAAUUCUUAACAUCCGGAAUAAAACAUGGUGCAUGGUGUAAUAAUUAAUAAAUUGACAAAAGUUUAUCAGUUAAAAUAAACCCAAAUAGGAGAAAAUAUUUGAAGGGAAACAAAUACUAUCUUUAUCAUCACAGCACUUAGAACGCAAUACACCAAAAAUUUAAUAUGUCCUCAUCUAUUACAUACAGUUCAAAGAUUAAUACACAAUCACAUAGAUACAAAUAUGCAAAAGAAUAGAGAAUUUGCUUAUCUUAAAUAGUCAAUGAGAAUUACAGACUUGAAGAGGCCCGGGGAAGGGGGGUUAGAUUGAAAAAAUACUUGAGGCAGUGAGUAUCGAUGUAAGAGUUUUGUUCUAAAAAGGAAUAUUGUAAAGAUAAAAUAGUAAAAACUUUUGUCAAACUUAAAGUGCUUAUAAGUUAAAAAUUCAUAAGCUGGGGAUGACCAGUUAAUGGUUUUUGGCUUAUAAGCACUUUUAAUUUUAUCAAACGCGUAAUAAGCCAAAAAGUGCUUAUAAGCUAGUCUAAGCUAGUUUGACCAGCUUAUAAGCUUAGCUAAACAUCUCCUUAAUAUGGUGUGAUAUUGUUCAUUUUGGGUCAAGCAUGUACGGUUUUUUCCAAAAAGUCUCGUACCAUUAAAAGUUCUCUACACCCAAUAAAACUAUAUCUUUUCAGCUAUCAAUGUAAAACUUUGUUCGCAAAUCCAACAUGAUCACAAUGUUUCAUAAUCUUGUUUCCCUGAUUAUUUUAAAAGUAAAAUUUCUACUUCUAGUGGGAGGAAUUUUUUUUUCAUAUCUUGGUUUUCAUUUUCAUUUUAAAGAGAAUAUAGUAAUUUAGGUAAUGGCAUCAACGUGAUGCAUAAUUACUUUUUUAAAAUAUUGCUCGUGAAUCAUAUCGGAUUAAGACAAGGGUCUAGAGUGGGAAUAAACAUAAUUUAAUACUCAAAUUAUUUUUCCCCCCUUUUAGGAGGCAAGACUCAAGAGAAUGCUAUAUUGCUAAGCCUGAUGCUGUGAAAGCUCGUAAUUAAUUGGAUCAAGUUUGUGCAAUAAGGAGUUCAUUUCGAAUAAAUUAUAAUAUAUCACUAUGAUCGAGGAACUAGAUCGAACAUAACUAAAAUUAAUUUCAGUUCGAUGAUCAGAUGGUUUAUUAUGAACCAAAAAUCUUGAAUAUUCAAGUGAAUCAACCCAAAAUGGAUCGAUCACUAGUUAGUGAACAUGAAAGAUAAUGACAUCCACAGCUCUUGAAUUUGCUUUUGCUAUGGAGUACAAUAAUUCUUGUGGUCCCGUCUUUUCUUGUGGAGCUUAGUGUACCAAACUACUUUUUGUCAAGGGGAAAAAUUGAACAAAUAAAUCUCUCUGCCUGAGAACUUUAAAGCUCUAUAAAUAGGCACUAGUUUCAUAUAGCUGCCUUCAUGACACAUAUCCUUAGCAUAUAGAUGCUUUGCAAAAGAGGGGGAUCAGCAAAAAGUUUUAAGUUUCCUGGCUUAUAUUGUUUGUUUUCCUUGUUUUUUGAUUCCUUGGCUAGUGCGUCCGCACAGAGUUUCCUUGCUUGAAAUUAUGUCAUAGUAGAAGGCCCUUCUCCUGGCGCAUUAAUGACAUGCAUAAUUGUAUUAAGUUAGACAAGGUUGCAUGUCCAUUAUUAAUAGCAUUCAUUACUUCCGUCGAGUCCGUUUCUAUUUUUAGUGGUAGUAAAUCAAACCUGAUAGCCAAUUGGAUUCCUUCAUGAAGUGCCUGCAAUUCAAUAUGAAGCGGAAAUAAACUAUUGCAGUAUUUGUUAAAACCUAAUAUCCAUUUCCCAGUGUUGUCCCUAAAUAUACCACCUAUACCAUUAUUUUGAAUUAUGAAUGCACCAUCUAUAUUUAAUUUUAUCCAACUUUUUGGUGGUGCAUGCCAAUAGAUUUGAAUAGGAGUUCUUUCUGUUGGUUGAGGGUUUGUGGUGGCCAAGUAAUGAAACUAGACGUGUGAUUGGUAAUUUUUCUUAAAAGAAGGGUUGUGGUUAGUGUUAUUGAUGUUUUUACUGUUCCUAUUUAGCCAUAUGUCCCAUAUUAUUGCUGGAAGCCUGGAAAGCCAGAUUCCUCAAUAUUGCUGGCAGGACAACCCUAACAAUCUCUUCUUUAAUCUCUAUCCCAGCAUAUUAUGCAAUAUACAUACCUCCCCAAUAAAAUUUUCAAUCAAAUAAAUUGUAUCCAACGUAACUUUAUUUGGGGAUCAACCAAUAACACUAAGAAACUCCAUUAUGUAAGCUGGAACAACAUUACUAAACCAAAAGAGGAGGGGGUCUGGGCCUUAAAAAGGUCAAGACAAAAAAUCUAAUUUCCCUAAGCAAUCUGGCGUGGAGAAUCCUUUCAAAUCCAACCACUCUAUGGUCCAGAAUUACCAUCACCAAAUAUGCCAAUAAUAUUCCUAAAAUACAAACAUCUUUCAUCUGGAAAAGUAUCUUAAAAGGUUGGUCCAUCUGUUGAAAGGGAAUUAGGUGGCAGCCAAGCAAGAACUCCAAAAUGGACUUAUGGAACUCCAUAUGGAUCCCAAACCUAUAACCCCUUAGGAAUUGCAUUGAAGGCCCCUAACAAAAAAGGAUUCAAACCUGAGGAUCAAAGAUAUAAUCUCCAAUGAUAAAUGGAACCUAUCAAAAUCUCCUUUAAUAUUCCAAUGGAUAUUAACACAAAAAUUGAUCAAAUUCCUACGCCACUUAAUGAAGAAAACACUGACACGCCAAUCUGGAGCCUCAAUACUAAUGGUUGCUUCAGUAGCAAAAGCUGCCUUAAUAUUAUCAAUAGUACCACGAUUCCCCAACUGGAUUUCAUGUGGAUAUGAAAACUUAACUAUCCUAAAAAAUUAAAAUUCUUCCUCUGGCAAUGCCUCCACAACAGAAUUCCUUGUCGUCAAUACCUUAACCACAUUGGCAUUAACAUCGAUAAUCUUUGCCUUGUGUGUCGACUGGAGGAGGAAUCAAUCGUCCAUAUAUUCAUCAGAUGUCCCAUUGUUCAACCACUAUGGACCAAAUUGGGUUUGGAAAAUCAAAUCAUUGCUAGCACCAAACACUGGCUAAUGCACAUCAAAGGUCUACGACCUAGCAAGAAACCACCUCACAUAGAAUGGGAAGACCUUCUACCUUUUAUAAUACGGGGCAUAUGGCUAAAUAGGAACACUAACAACAUCAAUAGCAUUACCCACAACCCUUCUUUUAAAAAAUUCACCAAUUACAAGUCCGGGUUUCAUUACUUGGCCACCACAAACCCUCAACCAACAGAAAGAAUUCCUAUUCAAAUCUGUUGGCAUGCACCACCAAAAGGUUGGAUAAAAUUAAAUAUAGAUGGUGCAUUCACAAUUCAAAAUAGUGGUAUAGGUGGUAUAUUUAGGGACAACACUGGAAAAUGGAUAUUAGGUUUUAACAAAUACUGCAAUGGUUUAUUUUCGCUUCAUAUUGAAUUGCAGGCAUUUCAUGAAGGAAUCCAAUUGGCUAUCAGGUUUGAUUUACUACUACUAGAAAUAGAAACGGACUCGCCGAAAGUAAUGACUGUUAUUAAUAAUGGACAUGCAACCUUAUCUAACCUAAUACAAUCAUGCAGGUCAUUAAUGCGCCAGGAGAAGGGCCUUCUACUACAACAUAAUUUCAGGCAAGGAAACUCUGUGGCGAACGCACUAGCCAAGGAAGCAAAAAAUAGGAAAAACAAACAAUAUAAGCCAGAAAGCUUAAAACUUUUUGCUGAACCCCCCCCCCCCCCCCUUUUUUUGCAAAGCAUCUACAUGCUAAGGAUAUGUGUCAGGAAGGCAAUUAUAUGAAACUAGUGCCUGUUUCUACUUUGUAAUAUGCUAAAAACAUUUGGUAAUCAAAAUAUCACCAGUACUGGUAAUAUUUUGUAUGCGGGGUGUCACGGCCCAAUUUCCGAACCUGGUCGUGAUGGCUCCUCUCAUGAAGACAAGGCCAGUCAUUCAACCCAAUUCAUCCUUUUAAGACAAUUAAUUAACACAAUUAUAGUAUAAAUAUGGUUUAAUAAUAUCCAAUAGCGAAAAGUAUAGAUAAAAUACGGAAAUCCAACCCAACUCAGCCCUAACCGGGGUGUCACAAGUCAUGAACUACUACAGAGUUUACUAAAAUUCUACAAAGUAUGGAAUUAGGAACAAAGUCUGAAGAUAUCAUAAAUAACAGAAUAUAAGGGAGAAAACGGGUCUGCGAACGCCAUGCAGCUACCUCGAUACUCCGAUGAAAACUGAACAGCAGAAAACUCGCUCUAUGCCUCAGGAAUACCUGUACCUGCACACAUGAUGCAGGGAGUAAUGUGAGUACCCCGACCCAAUGAGUAAUAAAUAUAAAUAAUGACUGAAGGUAAGAAAACACGUUAAGGCACACAACAUUCUAUACAGAAGCAGUGAAAUCAUUUAAAGUAACAAUUCAGUGAAACAUCAUGUGAAAUUUCUUUUAAACCAGUAAAACAUGUAAUUUGGCAGUAAAAUGACGAGUAGAAAUCUGCCCCUCGAGCUCAAUAUCAAAAAACCAAGUAGAAAUCUGCCCCUCGGGCUCAGUAUCAAAAUAACAAGUAGAAAUCUUCCCCUCGGGUUCAGUAUCAAAAUAAUAAUUAGAAAUUUGACCCUCGGGCUCAGUAUCACAAAACAGUAUCAAGCAACUAGUCAAUGAAAUAAGAGCACAUAAUUAUUAUGGCAGAUAAUGCAGAUAAGGAAUAAAUGCAUGAGUGCAAUGCAAUGCAUAUGACGGUACCCUCUGGUACCCACUGCGGCAUGCAGCCCGAGCCAUCCAUAUUUAUUUAUCGUCGACGGCGCUCACUGGGGGGGUGUACAGACUCCGGAGGGGCUCCUACAGCCCAAGCGCAAUAUCAAGCCAUUUCGUGGCAUCAAAUCUAGGUCAUCGGCUUCAUAUCAAUCUCAGUAUAAACAACCAGUCUCUCGGCCUCAACAUCAAUGUAAUACUGUUGUGGUGCACAGCCCGAUCCAUGCUCAGUCCAGAAACCAUCAUAAGCCCCUUGGGCAUUUGUAAAAUAGUAGUUCACAGCCCGAAAUAUCAUUUAAAAAUAUCAUUUAAGUUUUUAAAUCUUAGAAAGAUGGCUGAGUUUGCAAAGCAGUAUUUAAAACCUUGGACUGAGGUCAAAUGAUAUGCAAAACAUGUGAAAGCAGUGAUAUCAAUUCAUGAAUGAUUCAAAUAAUUGGCAAGAAGCCCAAAUGUAACAAUUAAAUCUAAGUAAGGAUGAUUAUCAAUUUAGUUCAAGUAGAAAACACGGUACAAACAUCUCUCGGGACGGACCAAGUCACAAUCCCCAAUGGUACUCUACCCCACGCCCGUUAUCCGGCGUGCAAGUCACCUCAAUAUAGCGUUACGAUGUGAAAUUCCGGGGUUUCAAACCCUCAGGACAUCAUUUACAUCAAUUACUCACCUCAAGACGGCCAAAAGUCUAGCUCGUUAUGCCCUUGCCUCUUUAAUUGGCCUUUUCGUGCGUCGAAUCUAUCCAAAAUCAGAAAGAAUAUGCCACAUUAUGCUGUAGGAACAAUACCCAAUCGAAAAUAACUGGAAAACAUCAAAAUUCUGAAAUUUGGCAAAACCCGAGCCCCGGGACCACUUCUCGAAAUUCAGAAAAAUUAACAUCAACGGCUUCCUUAUCUCACCACGAGUCUAUACAUAUAAAAUUUACCAAAAUCGGACAUCAACUCGACCCUCAAAUCUUCAAAUCUUAUUUUCAAAUCCCUAGGCCUAAAUCCCCAAUUUACUCCUCAAAAACAUGUAAUCUAGUCCGAUUAAUCGAUGAUAAUUCAAUAUUAUGGAGUAAAAAUGAUCACAAGUGACUUACCUCAAGAUUUUCCAUGAUUUCUUGCUUAAAAAUUGCCCCAAGUUGUGUUCUUUCACAAGAAAAACGUGAAAAUGAGCUAAAAAACAUAACAACACUAAUAAAGCCCAUUCUGGUCGCUAAAAGACCUUUCCGGUCGCUAAAGGUGCCAAAUCUGGUCGCUAAAGGUGCACACCAGAACCUUCUGCACCAGCAAUAUUUAUUUUCACUAAAAAGGCUCUAACUUCACCAUACGAACUCUGAAUUCGAUGAUUCUUGUUCCUAUGAGUCACAAAUAAUGAUACGAACAUAGUCCUUCAAUCAAAACUCAAUUCGGAGCUCAUUUGCUCAGUGCGAUAUCCGUUUCGCUUGUUAAACAAUUAACAUAUAUUUUGCAUCAAAACCCAAUCGCGACUUGAUGAAAUUAGACCAAACUUUCCAGAUCACUCCUAUAAUUCAUUAUCAAAAUUCCGGAAGUCUCGAAAUCAAAUUUCAAUAUCUAGAACUAAAAAUGGACCUUUGGAUCAUUACGUGCUUAUGCUCAAACGGCAAAAAUCUUCCAAAAACUCUUCCAAAUCAUUAUCCGAGCCUCAUGGGACCCCGACCAAACAUGCCAACACACCCCAUAACAUCAUUCAAACUUUUUCCAAUCAACNNNNNNNNNNNNNNNNNNNNNNNNNGAUCAAAAAACCCGACCAAAUCACCUCCGAAUGACAUGAAAUUUUGCACACACAUACCAAAUCACAUAAUGAAGCUACAGAAACUUUCGGAAUUCCAUUCCGGCCCUUGGAUCAAAAUCUCACCUAUCAACCGGAAAUCGCUAAAAUACUACUUUCGCCAAUUCAAGCCAAAUUCCACACCGGACAUCCAAAACCAAUUACGAUCGCGCUCCUAAGUCAUAAAUCACCUAAUGGAGCUAGACAAAUCAUAAAAAUUCCGAUCCGAGAUCAUUUACACAUAAGUCAACUCUGCUCAAACCUUUCAAAUUCAAAGCUUUCAACUGAGACUAUUCUUUCAAAUUCAUUCUGAUUUUUUUUUCCUAAAAACCAAAACCAACGAUCUACAUCAGUCAUGAUACAUAACACGGGGCAAGUCAUGCCCGAGAACUGACGAUCAAAGCGCAAAAGCUCAAAACGACCGAUCGGGUUCAACACAGGAUUACCUACCCCUAUGGCCGUUACUACAAACAAUAUGGCAUGUAAUAUGUCUGUUUAUUUAGUAAAGUAAUAUAAAUCCUUUUAUUAUUCAAAUAAAUAAAUAAACGUCAUUUCGAAGACCAAAAAGAAUCUUUUUUUUUUUUUUUGGAAAGCUCAAAUCCUUCUACUCCAUUUAACAAGGCUAUUUGACAAGUACCCAUUUCUAAAUUUGAAAACAAUUUAACUUAAAUUUUUAAUUUUAUAUUUAAUGAGAAGUUUUUACAACCACACAAAUAUUAUUGGUCCCUUCUUGACUUAUUUAAGACCAUAAAUUCCAAAAGUCUUUAUUUCUUAAACUCCGUGUCUAGAGCGUUUUGGAUUUUUGGAUGUGAAAUGAAUUAAAAGGCUCUCCAAUAAGUUUGUGUCAGAUUGGAUGAGUUCUUCAUUGUACUUAUUUAAUAAAUAUUUGAAUUAUUUAUUUUUUGAUAUUUUUUACAUUCUAAAAAUAGAAAGGUGUCAUAAAGUGAACUAUUUUGAUAAUUUCUCCGGUCCACAAUAAGUGACCAAUUUACUUUUUUAUUUUGGUCUAAAAUAAGUGUUCAUUUAUAUAAUCAAGAAAAAAUUGAAUUUUUUUUAUAAAAUUACCCUUAUAUACUUAUCCCUAAAAAGUUUUCUUACUCCUCACAUUAAAUAUUUAAUUAAGGAUAGUUUAGUCCUACUAAGUAUUUUUAUAUAGAAUUUAAUUUAGUAUUUUCUUAAUGGGUGUGCCAAAAAUAAAUUGUUAAAUAUUUAAUUAACCCAACCAAGAGUAGUUGGGUAAAAGUAGAGAGAAUAACUCAUACCCAAAAUCAAAGACUAAGCUGUUGAUUAUUUUACUUUUUUAAUAGUAGCUAGGUUACAAGGACAUAAUGCCCGUAAUGAUUGUUAUAAUGUGUAUUAAUAAUUAAUAUUAUAAGUAUAUUGCGAACCAAUUUUUUUUUUAAAAACUAAGACAGGUUGUCUUAUUUCCAUGACAGAAGCGAAGCUAGAAUUUGAAAUUUAUAGAUUCGAAAUUGUAAUAAUUUUUAAGUUACUAAUUCUAAAUUAAUAAUUUGUAUAUAUUUAAAGAGUUUCUUUAAAUAAAUACAAAAUUUAAAUAAAAGUUACUGGAUUCGACAUAGUUCCAUGAUGCUUUUUCCCAGUUGUUGCGGAAAGUAAAUUGUUCGAUAAAAAAGGAACUUAUUAUUCGAGUAUUAGCACAAACAAAUCGAAUAAAAUUUAACUAACUUUAAGCGAAGUACUUACGCAUAUUGAACUGUUAAAUUCUACAUUAAUCCACCAAAGUAAGAUGUGCAAGCUGUUGUAAUCAAUAUAAAGAACACUAACUACGAGAUUUAUCUUAUGGGGAAUAUGUCCAAAUUAUAUUUCUCUUUUUGUUGGGUCUUUGGGUAGACAUAAUCAACUUAUUAAAGACAUAUUGUCUCAAAGUACAAAAUAAAAAAAGGGAGAGAGUCAAUGAAGUUAAACUUAGAAAAAAAAAA
rnacentral:lncRNA from 1 species